rnacentral:rRNA from 1 species
CAGAGGGUGCGAGCGUUAAUCGGAGUUACUGGGCGUAAAGCGUGCGUAGACGGCUAUCUAAGUCGGGUGUGAAAGCCCCGGGCUCAACCUGGGAAUUGCAUUCGAGACUGAAUAGCUAGGGUACGGUAGAGGGAAGCGGAAUUUCCGGUGUAGCGGUGAAAUGCGUAGAUAUCAGGAGGAACACCUAUGGCGAAGGCAGCUCGCUGGGACGGUACUGACGCUGAGGCGCGAAAGCGUGGGGAGCAAACAGG